rnacentral:rRNA from 1 species
AACGUAGGAGACAAACGUUAUCCGGAGUUACUGGGCGUAAAGGGCGUGUAGGUGGUUUCGUAAGUCUGGCGUGAAAUUUUUCGGCUUAACCGGGAAAGGUCGUCGGAUACUGCGGAACUAGAGGACGGUAGAGGCGUGUGGAAUUCCGGGUGUAGUGGUGAAAUGCGUAGAGAUCCGGAGGAACACCAGUGGCGAAGGCGACUACCUGGCCUGUUCUUGACGCUGAGGCGCGAAAGCUAGGGGAGCAAACGGG